GACGAACCGUGCGAACGUUGUUCGGAUUCACUGGGCUUAAAGGGCGCGUAGGCGGCUUGCCAAGUCAGGGGUGAAAUCUUUCGGCUCAACCGGAAAAGUGCCUUUGAUACUGGCGAGCUAGAGGGAGGUAGGGGUGCGUGGAACUUCUGGUGGAGCGGUGAAAUGCGUAGAUAUCAGAAGGAACGCCGGUGGCGAAAGCGACGCACUGGAUCUUACUGAGCUGAGGCGCGAAAGCGUGGGGAGCAAACAGG
rnacentral:rRNA from 1 species